GCGGGUGUGGCGCAAUUGGCAGACGCGCCAGAUUUAGGUUCUGGUGGCAUCCCCGUGCAGGUUCAAGUCCUGUCACCCGCACCA
rnacentral:tRNA from 1 species